GCUAUUAUGAUAAUUUGAGGCUCCUGACUUGAACUGUUACGUAGUUGAACGGUCCAGUGUGACGCAAGUUUAACGUAGAAAUACCCAGGAUUGUGUAUUUACCUUUAUUUCUUCAGUGCCAAGAUGAAGACGUCUGUGUUCAAGGAAUCUGUGAAGUUUUCGGAACCGUAGUUCAUAUCCUUUAAGGGGAAAUUAAUAGACAUUUACGCAUGCUGCCCGUCAUUGAUCUGAAUUGUUUACCUCUGGAUGGUAAUAGUUUUAGUACCACAAAAAAAUCUGUACCGUUGGCUUCUGGAAAUCUUGAUAGAUUGCUGACCACAAAAUCAAAAUAUCUCCAUCCAGAUUGCUUUCUAAAAACUGACCAAAAGUGGCCUUACAACUCAACACUUUCAUCAAACUGCAGAUUGGCAAAGUGUCCGCAAGGGACGCAUUGGAUGAGGACGAAAUAAGAAUCAUGACACCUUUGACCGCUUUGUCUAACGAGGUAGACCUUCAGAAGACAUUUUUUCCUGUAAAGCUGACCAAAGCUAUUGCUGGAAAUGACUUGACGGAAUAGGGAAUUGAAAAGAUUAUAAAUAUAGAAUGAUCUGUAUGGAAUAGGUGGAAACGCGACGGUUUUUGAACUUAAUUUCCCUUUAUUGAAAAUAG